GAAUCACACCCGGAGAGGCUGUAGCAAAUCCCUGAUUCCAGUGCUAAGUAGGAGCAGUGGGGCCCCCAGAUCUUCCAGGAGAAGGAAGAAGAGUUAAGGAACCACGAAGAGGAAGAAGGAGCUGGGACAGAUAUCCUGGCGGUCAGAGGAAGAUAGGGACGCGGAGACACAAGGAUCGGGGUUCUGUGGCCGCAGACCUCACGGCGCAGGCUAAGGCGUCCGCGCUCCUCGGCUAUGGCGCGCAGCCUUUCCCCGCCCCCGACACGCAAAGGCCCUGCCUCAUACUCCUAAAACUCCGCCCAGAUCUCUGGGCAAGGCGGCGCCUCUGAGCCGCCCCCUCUGCGCCUCACUGAUUUUGCGCUUUGUCACCGCCCUGUGCAUUCCCUGAAGCCUCCAGCACACCAGCUCUGCUUAUUUCUGUCUGAACCUUCCAAGUAGGUUCUGCUAAAAACUUGCUUCACAAAACUCAACAAGAAGUUACCACCUCCUUUCGGAGGUCUCCUGGGACGCCUCAGUUUCCUCUGCUGAACACUUAGGAAAAGGGGUCAGAGAGUUGCUUCCUGUCUUAGCUCCUGUGCUGACUAGAGGCCAGAGGUGGAUCAGAUCAGCUUGCAUGUGAUCCUAAUUAAAGGCCAAGGUCCAGCUGGGCAUCCAUCCCUGUGCUAAAAGAGGAAGAUGCAGGGAGCAGCCGCCAGAAGCCACGUUCUGAACUCACUCGGUGGUCCUUUCCCAGGACCAGGGCCUGGCUUCUGACAACUGUAUUCCCAGCGCCCAAUAAAUGCAGGCUGUGUGAUGGAGACUGGAGAGAGGCCUGCUGAGGAAGAUUGUCUCUAAGGAAGGUGGGGUGGGACCACAAGGUGUGGAAACCACUCCAGAGCAGGAAAUUGGCAGCUUUGGCAUACUGUUCAAGCCUUACCUGGGAUUUGUACCGCUCCCCUGAGAUGCUCAGGGGGGACCCUUCAAUACAUUUCCUUGUUUUAUGGGGUCUAGGGUGACCCCCAUGAAAGGAUCAUUGAACCCCACAAUGGGAGCUGAAAUGACACACAGGUUGAAAACCAUAGUCCUAGAGUCAGGCACAGGAGGGACUCUGUAAAAAGGGAAACCGCAUCACUGCCUACACAUCCACAGUGCCGGGCUGUUGUUUGAAACCCUUGAGCACACUGAAAAACCUGCCUGCCUGCUCUCAGCUGCAGCGUUUCAUUCUGGUGGGACCAGAUGUCCUGGAGCCAGCUGCCUUCUCCCUCCUGUUAUUUCAGCAUCUGCAUCUGCACAGGCUGCCAUCCCUCCCGCCACAAACUCUGAGUGUUAUUUCCUCCUUCUGGAAAGUUCCUUACCAUCAAGUUCAGACAUCAUUUUCCUAGGGAAAUGUUGAGAAUCUGUGACCCAAUUCCAGCUCUGAUCUUCCUGGUCCCUAAGAGCCUGUUUCUGCCCAGUACCCCUAUGUCCUUUCAAGCCAUCACACUACUAUUUGGGGUGAAAGGUGAACCAGUGGGGGCAGGGGAGAUAGUUCUUGGUGUGACUGCUAGGUCCUUGAGGAGCUGAGACGCAGUGGGCCUCUUGGGUGUGACUGCUAGGCCCUUGAGGAGCUGACACACAGUGGGUCUCCAUGAAUGCAGGUUGAGUCAUUGAACAGUAAGUGAAUCUUGGUAGCCACUGUCACAGGAUUAUGGAAACCCUAGCUGGUUGUCAGUGACAGUAGGGAUAGUCACCAGAGGGACAGGCCAGCGGUGAUAUAUUGUUCUAGCGCACUCAUGGGGAUCCCCAAAAUCAUAGUCCUGGAUCCCUCUGGAGGACGCUUGACUCCCUGGCUGCUGUGGACCACAGCUGUACCUGGUAGAAUAGGAAUCUGAAAAAGCCUGGGUCUGGGGCCAUGGUCAGGGGCAGAAGAGGAGGUGACUGUAAAAGGAGAACAAGAAAAAUCAGGGACUUGGGUUCAAGUCUUGAUUCAGCCUGUGGAGCUUAGUGACUGCCAGCCCCUCCCCUGCUACAAACCUCAGUUUCCCCAUGAGCCAAAGAGGAAGUUCAGAGGGCUUCCUCGCAGAAGGCAGAUCUGCUGAGAGGAUGAAAGCUGGGCCCUGAUGGAGCUGAUUUCUUGAGCAGCUUCUGGGGGAGAUCCAGGUCUGGAUGGAGCAAGCCCAUCUCUGGGGAGCUGAACCCCUCUGCACCUGCAAAGCCCUUUCUGUGCACCCCAAAUUC
rnacentral:lncRNA from 1 species